rnacentral:rRNA from 1 species
GCGCACGCAGGCGGUCAAUUAAGUCAGAUGUGAAAGCCCCGAGCUUAACUUGGGAAUUGCAUCUGAAACUGGUUGGCUAGAGUCUUGUAGAGGGGGGUAGAAUUCCAUGUGUAGCGGUGAAAUGCGUAGAGAUGUGGAGGAAUACCGGUGGCGAAGGCGGCCCCCUGGACAAAGACUGACGCUCAGGUGCGAAAGCGUGGGGAGCAAACAGGAUUAGAUACC